rnacentral:lncRNA from 1 species
AGUCACAUUUGUCGACUUCCACAAUAAAAUCCAGGACUGCUUUCAGAAGUGAAUAGAAUUCAUAUCAGUUAUUUUAUUUCCCAUAGUAAAAACCUCUGUCUUGAGAAAAUAACUUUUAAUUCAUCACUAUUUUUUUAUAACCAUACAUUUCUCUUCGCUCUAAUCUCUCCCAUUAUUUUCUCCCUUCAGUAUUAGAUUUCUCCAGCAAGAAUGUAAAGAGGAAAGAAGAAAACAAUAUGAAUUUUUAAAUUUCUAACAAGUCUGGAAAACAGCUGGUGACAAAACAGAUUGAACAACAGAGAUUUGCAUCUCCUAUUUCUGGAUACAAGAAUUUCAAAAGCCAAGUUGAUGCCAAUGUUUACGCUCCAUGAAUAUAAAAUUAAGGUCUAUUCAAAAAGCACUUCAAUAAAAUUUUCCAAGUUCAUC